AAACAGAGCAGCGAGGCGAUGCUGAUGUUCCAAAAGCUGUUUAUUUCCCUUCCCAAACAGGGGUAUGGUCAUCUCAGAGGAAAAAGAGAAAAAAGAAAAAAAAAACUCCAAAACAAAAUAAUCAAUCAAACUAAUUUAUACUUUUAACUAUACUUGAAACUAAACUUUUUCCAAGCAAAAUGGCUUCAAUAAUAUAGCACUUUACAUAUAGCUAAAUGUGGAAAAUCUCUUUUCUCUGGUCAUACACAUGUGCUCUUUUCUCACCUUAACCCACUCUACCUGCUGUCUGGUCUGCCACAGGUCUUCUAGCCCCUGGCCAGAACCAAAUCAUUGUCCCAAAAUCAAUCAUUGUCUAACAGCCUAGAACCAAUACAAAAAUAUAUAUAAAUACUCUAAUGAAAUAUAAUACAUUAUCCGGUUACCAGACAUUAACACCACCACCUUUACAAACACAAUAAACAUACAUAUCCUGUUAACUACACAAACACCCCUCUUCCCACACAACAAUGCCCCAUUCACGCCUAUGACGUUCACUCCGCAAAACUAUAAUUGUCUCUUGAGAGCUACUGUCGGGUCUUCUGAUGAACGCAAACCAGGAAGUAAACAGACCAACGUAAGCGAUGCUGUUGCUUCCGUGACUGCCAGCUGCAUGCUCACGUUCGUGCGGUACAAACAAAAUAAAGGCCUGUGUGA